GUAAGAUAUUGAUGUUCGUAACUGUUAUCACGAUUUUUUGACAUGCAGUUAGCAGCAGUAAUUGAUAACGGUAAUGAACUGAUAAAUAUAAAAUUCAACUAUUGCUAUGGCCCCGACGUUGCGUUUUAUUCUUUAAUAUUUACAUAGUAAGUAUUAUUAUAAUUUAUAUUUACUAUUUAUUUUGAUUUUGAUUCAUAAUCUUUGGAAAAAUUAAAAGAAGAAUAAUUUACUUAAAUUAAAGAUGAUCAGACAAAACCUAAUUCAUCGAUUAGGCCAAUAGAUAUCAGCAGCUAAUAUUAUUCCAACAAAGUAGUAUACCUCUUGUCUACUUACAUUAUAACUCUAAUGCUUAAUGACUUUAAUAAGUUCUGAACCAACAAAAAUUAAUGUAAAUGAAUUCCUACUUAAUACAUAAGUGAGAAAAUAUUGAUUGAUAAGGAAUACUAAAAGAAAUAUUAAGUUUAUAUCAUUAGAUGCAUGUAUAAUUUAAGGCAACAGAAGUAGAGGUUCAAAUAACUAAGGGAAGACAUAUAAAUAUUCAUUCGUUUUGUAAUUUUAAUAUAAUAUGAUAACAAAUAAAAAUAGUCAUAAUUGGAGAUGAUAGAAUUUACAAACCAUCUCUUAUCUAUCUCCUUGUAACAAUUCAUAAGAAGUUUAAAAUAAAAUUGAAAAAGGCACAAAAACAAGAAUGUAAUGAUAAAUAAAUGUUGCAUAUUUAUAUAUUAUUAGGAGUUCAUAAUGAUUAUUUAAAAAAAUAUUCAAAGUAUAACAUAAUAAGUUAAUAAUUUAUAUUUUAGUGUUGAGUAAUUUUUUUUUAAAUAUAUUAAAUACUUUUCAAAUAUACUGAGAUCGUUUAAUAUUUCAGUUCUUAUUUGAUACAAAACAUCAAAUUAUAAAACAAAGUUAUGUGUUAAACAGUUGGAAAAUAGAUUUAAAUGUGUUAAUCUCAAAAAUGGUGUUAAACACACACACUAAGAAAUUUUCAAAAUUAAGACAAAAUAUUACCAAAUAAAAAUAUAUAAUUAUAAAAAAAAAUAAUACAUUUGAAUAUAAUAAAGAAUAAUACAAUUAUUUAUGUAUAAUUUAGUAUUAAAUG